UAUGGUGCAACUAAACUAAAUACCUCAGUUGCAUCUCUUUGAGUCCCUGAGAAACUGAGCUUGGCAUCUUCAUGGUGCCACGAACUAAUUUUAGCAGUCAUACAAAUUACAGGACCUAUGGUGCAACUAAACUAAAUACCUCAGUUGCAUCUCUUUGAAUCCCUGAGAAACUGAACUUGGCAUCUUCAUGGUGCCACAAACUAACUUUAAGGGUCAUAGAAAUUACUGGACCUAUGAAGCAACUAAACUAAAUACCUCAGUUGCAUCUCCUUGAGUCCUGAGAAACUGAGCUUGGCAUCUUCAUGGUGCCACGAACUAAUUUUAGCAGUCAUAGAAAUUACUGGUCCUAUGGUGCAACUAAACUAAAUACCUCAGUUGCAUCUCUUUGAGUCCCUGCCUGAAUUCAGAGCAGAACUGCAAUUACGACUGGUGUAUGUAAGACAUAACAAAAUCUGUUAUGUCUGAACAGAGCCUCCAUACCUGAGAAGCAUCUCUUUGAAUCCCAAAGAAGCUGCAGUUGCCACCUUCAUGAGUCACACAGAUCACGAACCCAAACGGCAGCUGGACGAAGUACCUGAGACGCUUUGUCUCCAGCCUGGAAGAUGGACUCGUCGUCCUCAGCGGAGGAGGCAGAAGAGGAUGUGGAAGAAGCCUGCUUUGAUAUCCAUCCUCCAUCAUCUUCAAGACUUCAGCAUCUUUCCGGGAGAGUUCAGGUGUGGAAAGGAGCGGGCAAACCUGCUUUGCUUGCGUGGGCUGUGGCAGUUGGACAGCGUUAACACAAUAUGUGUUUUUCUGGGGGUCUCCAGCAGAAGGUUCAAGGUCUAGCCCUGAUUUUCUAUGGGAUGCAGUGGCUUGAUAUUUCAUAACUCUGAAGGUUUUUCUCAAAAAGUAAACUUCAUAGAUUCCAAGGCAGCACUGUGCAAUGUUUCCAAUUUUGAGUUUUCUUACCUUCGUAUUAGAUGCUCCUGACGCAUUUAAUUGUCCUUCUUCCUGCAGACUUUCCUGGGCUGUCCAGCGAGCCUGCACGUGCAUCCUCAGAAGUGCGUACGCUUCUGACCUCACUGCCAUCGCUGGACGUGGGGCAGCAACCCAAGAGAAUCUGUANGUCCAUAAUCUGCUUUUGAAGAUCACCAAUAGUAAGAGAUUGGCCNUCUUUCUAUUUGUUAUUGAUUUAUGGUCGUUGCCAGAGGUAGGCAUGGUCUCUCCGCAGACAGGUGGGCUCAAUUUCCAUAUUGAGCCGUGGAGCAGGAGAAAAGCGCCAGGUGGUUUGUUGGUGAGCUUUGGCACUUAAGACAGGCCAAGGCUGGCACUGGUAAGGCUACCUGUUGGCCUUCAACAGUGUUGGCACACCAUGUUUGCUGUUCUGCAGAUCUUCAGCAUUCAGGGAAAGGAUCCGGACCCUCUGCACACCUCUAGUGCUGGCACUGGAGAGGUGCAGUGUUAGUCUUUUUGUGUAGUUUUUGUGGUCANCCCACUGNGGCCUGGCAUUUAAAAGAGGCAGCACAGUUUUCCUUGCUGAGUUCUGGCACUUGACUGAUGUGGCUGCGGUUCCUUU
ensembl:lncRNA